AUGUUUAUCUAAGGAUUAGACUCCUCUUUCUGUUUUAUUGGUCCAGUAGUAGUAAAUCAAAUACCUUGUUAUUCAGCAUAAAAAACAAGGGACUGCAUUGCAAAUUGUUAUAUUUUUUAGUGUUUUUAUAAUAGGAGCAUAUGGAAGGAGGUGGUGGAAAAUGUUUGGUUUAGAGAAAGAUUGGAAAAUGGGUAGGGAUGAACUGGAUUGGACUAGCAAAAACCUUAAGGGUAAAGUUUUCUAGAAACAGAUCUACAUAUUUGCUUGGGCGGCUACAUUGCACUGUAUAUGAUUUUUUUUAUUAUUUAUUUUUAUUUGGUGCACUGUAAAUGAAUUGAUAGAACAAUAAGUGAUGCAAGAAUCCAUAAUGGCAAAUUGGGAAGUGAAGCUUAAUUUUCCAAAAGAAUAUUCAUUGUUAUUAGUAGCAGACUAGCAUAUACUUGCACACAAGUCAAAAACUCAAUUUAAAAUAGAGGUUCUAUACAGCCUCUGGAAGAUCCCUUUUACUGUUUUUGACACUCAUUAAUUUUGAAGUUGUUGUAUUGUAUGUCUACUUGGUGUUUGUUUGUUUGGUUUUUUUUUUUUUUUUUUUUUUUUUUUUUUUGAGUAAGAAAUUUUAUUAGAAACAGUUGAAACAACAACACAACACAAAACAACAGCAAGCAGGAGCUACCAAAGUGAAAGAUAAGGGUUUGUCAACUCUUAUUGUUGCUUUUACUAUAGCCAUUUAAACCUAUCAAAGCAAGUGUCUCAAAGGUGUUCAGGGUUUCUUUCAAUAAGUUGUUUGGAAGAUUUCAUUGUAGUACAGUUUAGUUUUGUAAAGCUCUUUCAGGAGUGAUGGUUCUUCUUGUGCUCUCCCCUCUACUUGAUUUUUCGUCCAGACCCAGUUUUAGCUUACCCUGAUCAUCUCCGAUAGUUGGUGUAUGGUUUCGAAUAAGCUCUGGUGGUGGUAGCAGCCUGUUACCUGUUUCCUUGGAACCUUUCUCUUGUUCAAAAAAGAGGACUUGCACAACAGUUCUCAGGGGUAGCCGUUCAUUUUUUACAGCAUGGGCACGUACUUCUGGAGACAAUUUUUGGCAGUCUAGAAUCCGGCAGAGGCGCUUUUUGUCUGCCUUACUCAGAUCAGGAUGCUCCUGUUUAUCAAUUGAGACACAUUGUGAAUGUGUAAGAAAUGAAAUUAGUGAAUUAAAGUUACCAUGAACUUAAUUUCAGCUAAUUUUAUAAUGAGAAUGUGCAAGAAUAUAUUUGGCUCUGCAUCUAAUAGCAUUAAGCUUUGAAAA